UUGAUGCUUUCCCGAAGAAACUCCUGAGAGAAAAUAGAAGCUGUGAUUUUUAGCAAGAAAUGGUAAUAGCAUUGCGGAUGAGUGCCUUUUCUUAAUGUCUGUGCAGAGUUGUGGCCUGCUUCACCCUCAGAAGGAAGAGAUCAAGUCUUAGCAAAGGGCAUCCAGUGAUUUGAGAUGAUCUUCAUGGAGUUUGGGCAUUGGUGAGAUGGCUCAUCUGAUGAAGGCAUUUGCUGCCCAUAACUGGAGACCUGAGUUCCAUCCCUGGAACCCACAUAAAUGUAGAAGCCCAGCUGUUCCUACUCAUGAUUUCUGCCCAUGAUUACUUCAGUUUUGGAACCACCCACAACUUGUGACGGGAAGGAAGAAGAUUCCAAGGACCUUUAUUAAGAAAGAGAGCUUGAGUGGCCAGCAAGACAGCAGAGAAGACUGAUUGCCAUCUAUUCUGCUUCUUCUCCAAGACUCAUGACCUUCUUCAUGAACGUCAUGUGGAUGUGGUAGAGGCACAAUGUCAAAGUUGUCAGGAGCAUUGU